rnacentral:rRNA from 1 species
AGGGUUUUUCGGAAAUUACUGGGCGUAAAGCGCGCGUAGGCGGUUUGUUAAGUCAGAUGUGAAAUCCCCGGUAAACAAACAGGGAAUGGCAUUUGAGACUGGCAGGCUACAUUGUGGUAAAGGUGAGUGGAAUUUCAGGUGUAGCGGUGAAAUGCGUAGAGAUCUGAAGGAACAUCAGUGGCUUUCCCGACUCACUGGGCCAUUACUGACGCUGAGGUGCGAAAGCGUGGGUAGCAAACAGGAUUAGAUACCCUGGUAGUCCACGCCCUAAACGAUGUCAACUAGGUGUAUGGAGAAUUUAUUCUUUGUGUAUCGAAGCUAACGCGAUAAGUCGACCGCCUGGGGAGUACGGUCGCAAGAC